rnacentral:tRNA from 1 species
CCCUUCGUGGUGCAGUGGUCAGCACGCUGGGCAUGUGUUCCAGAGAUCCGUGGUUCGAUUCCCGACGAAGGGG